UGAAUACGAGAUGCUACGGCGUCGAAGCAGUGUAUGUCAGACUUCCAAGAAAAGCUCGCAAUGUCAUAAAUAAAGAAUGCCUGUACCAUAACCGACACAGGUGGGUAGGUAGAGUAUACUAAGGGGCGCGAGAUAACUCUCUCUAAGGAACUCGGCAAAAUAACUCCGUAACUUCGGGAGAAGGAGUGCCUUCUUGAAGAAGGUUGCAAUAACAAGAUCCAAGCAACUGUUUAUCAAAAACACAGGUCUCCGCUAAGUCGAAAGACGAUGUAUGGGGGCUGACGCCUGCCCAGUGCCAGAAGGUUAAAGAAGCUGGUUAGCAAUAGCGAAGCUGGUGACUGAAGCCCUGGUGAACGGCGGCCGUAACGAUAACGGUCCUAAGGUAGCGAAAUUCCUUGUCGGGUAAGUUCCGACCCGCACGAAAGGCGUAAUGAUUUGGAUACUGUCUCGGAGAGGGACUCGGUGAAAUAGACUUGUCUGUGAAGAUGCGGACUACCUGCACCAGGACAGAAAGACCCUAUGAAGCUUUACUGUAACUUGAAAUUGAAAUUGGACUUUAUUUGCGCAGUAUAGGUGGAAGGCGUUGAGAUUACUCUUGCGGGAUUAGUGGAGCCAUCAGUGAGAUACCACUCCUAUAAUGUUAGAUUUCUAACUUUGGAUCAUAAUCUGGUCAAAGAACAGUUUCAGGCGGGCAGUUUGACUGGGGCGGUCGCCUCCCAAAUGGUAACGGAGGCGUACAAAGGUUUCCUCUGAACGGGUAGAAAUCGUAUCUAGAGUGUAAAGGCAUAAGGAAGCUUGACUGUGAGACCUACAAGUCGAGCAGGGACGAAAGUCGGUCUUAGUGAUCUGACGGUGCUGAGUGGAAAGGCCGUCACUCAACGGAUAAAAGUUACUCUAGGGAUAACAGGCUGAUCUCCCCCAAGAGUUCACAUCGACGGGGAGGUUUGGCACCUCGAUGUCGGCUCAUCGCAUCCUGGGGCGGUAGUACGUCCCAAGGGUUGGGCUGUUCGCCCAUGAAAGCGGUACGCGAGCUGGGUUCAGAACGUCGUGAGACAGUUCGGUUCAUAUCCGGUGUAGGCGUUAGAAUAUUGAGAGGAGCCUUCUUUAGUACGAGAGGACCGAGAAGGACAUACCUCUGGUGUACCAGUUAUCGUGCCAACGGUAAACGCUGGGUAGCUAUGUAUGGAGAGGAUAACCGCUGAAAGCAUCUAAGUGGGAAGCCCACCUCAAGAUGAGUAUUCUCAUC
rnacentral:rRNA from 1 species